rnacentral:lncRNA from 11 species
CUGGAUCUGUUGGUACAGUGACCUCAUUACUGUUGUGACAGAUAUGGAUGAAGGUGUCGAUGAGCCCCUCAUGCCUGUGUAUGUAUAAAUAGAUAAUUUUAAGGGUGCUAACUAGGUCAUUGUACUGGUUUUGCAGAUUCCCUUCUCCAUUCUGCACGGUCCAUUCAAGGGAUUGUGUACUGUGAAAGAGGCAAGAUCCUGUGAUAAUUAGUUAAAUCAGAUUCAACAAUGCAGUGAGAUAAACAGUUGUGGUAGCUGCUGCCAUGGCAACACCAUCAUGCUCACCCUCUCGGUGCGUACACGUCUCCUUCCCUCCCUCCUCCCUUCCCCCUCUCCGCAUACACAUCCCUCCUCCUCUCCGGCAAGUGACACAUUUGCUAAUGGUCCGUACGUUUGAGAGGGUUUAAUGGCAGCACUCUUUGCUUUGAAAACUAUUCAAAAUGAUGAAUGAGGAGGCAGCUCAGAAGAGUGAUGGUGGAGAGAAGUAUAAUGGAAGCAACCAGAGGAAGAAAAGACCCAAGAAGGUGACAGUCGCAUUGACAAAAAACAACAGGAAAAACUCAGCCGCUAUCAGAACCUCAAGAUUGAACUUCAAAGACUCUGGCAGAAACCAGUGCAGGUGGUCCCGGUGGUGAUGGGCACACUGGGUGCCGUGCCAAAAGAUCUCAGCCGGCAUUUGGAAACAACAGACAUUGACAAAAUUACGAUCUGCCAGCUGCAAAAGGCCACCCUACUGGGAUCUGCGCACAUCAUCCGAAAAUACAUCACACAGUCCUAGACACUUGGGAAGUGUUCGACUUGUGAAUUUGUGAUAUGAAAUCCAGCAUAUCUAUCUUGUUUGCUGUGUCAUAAUAAAAUAAUAAUAAUAAUAAAAGAGUGUUGGAAGAGACCCCUUGGAUCAUUUAGCCCAACCUUCUUUUGCCCUUGUGCCGUGGGGGCCGGAUAAAUGGCUUCGAUGGGCCGCAUCUGGCCCCCGGGCCUUAGUUUGGGGACCCCUGUUAUAGAUCAUCUUCCUUUCUUUUCAAACAAGGCUUCCAUUCUGCUGCUGCUUCAUUGUUACCUCUAGGACUUUGUUGUUAAUGCUGGUGUUAGUCUGGUUUUUUUAACUUUUGUUUUAAUAAUGAGAUGAUGGUUCUUGUAUUUUUAUGUUUGUUUGAAAACCCAUUAAUCAUUUCUGAAUACAGGCAGUGCCAAGUUACAAAAAUCUGAC